GUGGAGAGACACUUACAAAAAGGCCCAUGUGUAUGAGGAUGGCUCUAAUAAACCAGAAAAACAAGAUCAGGAUUACAGAGGCCGGACAGAGGUGAAUGAAGACCUGCUGACAACUGGAGACCUCAGUUUGACCCUGCAAUACCCCACAGAGAGGGACACACAAGUCUACACCUGCACCGUCUACAGCAAGGAGGGAAAAAUCAUGUUCAAGAAGGCAGUUAAUCUGAAAGUCAAUGUCUGUCAGGUGGAGGUGGAGGAGGGGAUGGAGUCUGUUUGUCUGCCAUUUAAAACUACAAAAAACCUGCCUGAAGAUGUUGUAGUUGCGUGGCAAUCUGAUGAAAUGAUGGUCCACGUGUAUGAGAACGGCUCUGACAAGCUUGAAGAACAGGACGAGGUUUACAGAGACCGAACGAAGAUGAAUGAAGACCUGCUGAAAACUGGAGACCUCAGUCUGACCCUGAAACACCC
ensembl:lncRNA